rnacentral:rRNA from 1 species
GCGGAGGAAAAGAAACCAACAGGGAUUGCCCCAGUAACGGCGAGUGAAGCGGCAAAAGCUCAAAUUUGAAAUCCUGCGGGAAUUGUAAUUUGAAGGUUUCGUGGUCUGAGUCGGCCGCGCCCAAGUCCAUUGGAACAUGGCGCCUGGGAGGGUGAGAGCCCCGUAUGGCGCACGCCGACUCUUUGCACCGCGGCUCCGACGAGUCGAGUUGUUUGGGAAUGCAGCUCUAAGUGGGUGGUAAAUUCCAUCUAAAGCUAAAUAUUGGCGAGAGACCGAUAGCGAACAAGUACAGUGAUGGAAAGAUGAAAAGCACUUUGAAAAGAGAGUGAAACAGCACGUGAAAUUGUUGAAAGGGAAGGGCUUGCAAGCAGACACGGUUUUACCGGGCCAGCGUCGAAAAGGGGGGAGGAACAAGAACUCGAGAAUGUGGCGCGCACCUUCGGGCGCGCGUGUUAUAGCUCGUGUUGACGCCUCCAUCCCUUUUCGAGGCCUGCGAUUCUAGGACGCUGGCGUAAUGGUUGCAAGCCGCCCGUC